GAUGAACGCUAGCGGGAGGCUUAACACAUGCAAGUCGAGGGGCAGCAUAGGGUAGCAAUACUCUGAUGGCGACCGGCAAACGGGUGAGUAACGCGUAUGUAACCUACCCUGUACAGGGGGAUAACCCGGAGAAAUUCGGACUAAUAUCCCAUAACAAUAUCCGGGGGCAUCUUUGGAUAUUUAAAGUUCCGGCGGUACGGGAUGGGCAUGCGUAACAUUAGCUAGUUGGUAAGGUAACGGCUUACCAAGGCUUUGAUGUUUAGGGGUCCUGAGAGGGUGGUCCCCCACACUGGUACUGAGACACGGACCAGACUCCUACGGGAGGCAGCAGUAGGGAAUAUUGGGCAAUGGGCGAAAGCCUGACCCAGCCAUGCCGCGUGAGUGAUGAAGGUCCUAGAGAUUGUAAAACUCUUUUCUGAGGAAAGAAUAAAUAGGGAAGGAAUGUCCUUAUUUUGACGGUACCUCAGGAAUAAGGAACGGCUAACUCCGUG
rnacentral:rRNA from 1 species